ACUGGGGCAAGGACAAGGACCCAUUGCUGAAUGAAUGAUCAAAGAUGCUAUGAAAUCAGGAAACUGGGCAUUUUUGCAAAACUGCCAUCUUGCUGUUUUUUGGAUGUUGGCAAUGGAAGAGCUAAUUAUAACCUUCACAGAUCCAAUUCUUGAAAACUCCGUCAAGGUAACCUGUGCAGGUGAUUGGAGUCACAUGAAGUGACUGGCCUCAGAGUGUUCAUCCAGCGGGCCCAGGGAGCUCGGACCCAGGGCAGAACUGUGUGAAUGCCUGAGCCGUCCAGUAAUUUUAGUCUCAUCUGUUCCUACUUGAGUGGCUGUACCAACCUUCAGAGCUUCCUCCCUGUGACUG